GAACACCAGUGGCGAAGGCGGCUUACUGGCUCGAUACUGACGCUGAGGUGCGAAAGUGUGGGGAGCAAACAGGAUUAGAUACCCUGGUAGUCCACACCGUAAACGAUGAAUGCCAGACGUCAGCAAGUAUACUUGUUGGUGUCACACCUAACGGAUUAAGCAUUCCGCCUGGGGAGUACGGUCGCAAGAUUAAAACUCAAAGGAGUUGACGGGGGCCCGCACAAGCGGUGGAGCAUGUGGUUUAAUUCGACGCAACGCGCAGAACCUUACCAACCCUUGACAUACUUGUCGCGGAUUCCAGAGAUGGAUUCCUUCAGCUCGGCUGGACAAUGUACAGGUGCUGCAUGGCUGUCGUCAGCUCGUGUCGUGAGAUGUUCGGUUAAGUCCGGCAACGAGCGCAACCCACGUCCUUAGUUACCAGCAUUUAGUUGGGUACCCUAAGGAGACUGCCGGUGAUAAGCCGGAGGAAGGUGUGGACGACGUCAAGUCAUCAUGGCCCUUACGGGUUGGGCUACACACGUGCUACAAUGGCAUCUACAGUGAGUUAAUCUCCAAAAGAUGUCUCAGUUCGGAUUGGGGUCUGCAACUCGACCCCAUGAAGUCGGAAUCGCUAGUAAUCGCGGAACAGCAUGCCGCGGUGAAUACGUUCCCGGGCCUUGUACACACCGCCCGUCACACCAUGGGAAUUGGGUCUACCCGAAGGUGGUGCGCCAACUAUUUAUAGGGGCAGCCAACCACGGUAGGUUCAGUGACUGGGGUGAAGUCGUAACAAGGUAACCGUA
rnacentral:rRNA from 1 species